CCUACGGGUGGCAGCAGUCGAGAAUCUUCGGCAAUGGGGGAAACCCUGACCGAGCGACGCCGCGUGUGAGAUGAAGGCCUUCGGGUUGUAAAUCACUGUCGUAGAGGAGGAAGUGUAGGUGGGUUCUCCCACUUAUUUGACCUAUUCUAGGAGGAAGGACGGGCUAAGUUCGUGCCAGCAGCCGCGGUAAGACGGACCGUCCAAACGUUAUUCGGAAUCACUGGGCUUAAAGGUCCCGGAAGUGGUCCGGGAAAUACCUCGGCUCAACCGAGGAACUGCGCCCAAAACUGCCGGGCUUGAGGGAGACAUAGGUGCGCGGAACCUAGGGUGGAGCGGUGAAAUGCGUUGAGAUCCUAGGGAACACCAGUAGCGAAAGCGGCGCACUGGGUCUCUUCUGACGCUGAUGCACGAAAGCUAGGGGAGCGAAGAGGAUUAGAUACCCCAGUAGUC
rnacentral:rRNA from 1 species